CAUCUUCUUUUUCAGAAACGCGUCACAUCCGCUGCGUCUCUUGUAAUUUUAGGGAGUUCAAUCGUUCCUUCGUUUCUGUCUUUUGGAAACCUAAAUCGACGUGUUAACAGAAAAUGGCUGCUAAUCAAGAUUAUACAGAGGAUAUGGCCCAAGGAGACUUCAGCAAUGAAGGUUAUGGUGAUUUUCAAGAGCCGGAAUCGCAGCCGCAAGUGCAGGAAAAUGCUGAAUUAAAUGGUAACGAGGCAAUGGAAGAAACUACUAAUGGCGAUGGACAUGAGGAUUCCUCCUCCCAAGACCCGUUGGGGAAAGAUGAAGAUCGGAAACUCUUCGUUGGCGGUCUCAGCUGGGCUACAACAGACAAGGAAUUACGAGAGCAUUUUGGAAAAUACGGUGAAAUAGAGAGCAUAACGGUAAAAAUGGAUCCCCAGACAGGAAGAUCUAGGGGUUUUGCAUUUUUAGUUUUCAAGUCCGCCGAAAAUUUAGACAAGGUUAUGAAUGCCGGAGAACAUAUAAUUAAUGGCAAACGAGUGGAUCCAAAAAAAGCUAAAGCACGCUCUGGAAAGAUAUUUGUUGGAGGUUUACCUCAAGAUACCACUGAAGAAACUAUUCGUUCAUUUUUUGGAACCUUUGGAAAUAUUGUCGAAAUCGAAAUGCCAUUUGAUCGUGUUAAGAACCAACGGAAAAAUUUCUGCUUUAUAACAUAUGACAAUGAAAAUGUUGUGUUUGAUUUACUGAAGACACCCAAGCAAGUUAUCAAUGGUAAAGAAGUUGAUGUUAAAAAGGCAACGCCCAAACCAGAUUCCUUUGGACCACCAGCAAUGAGAGGUGGAAGAGGCGGUCCUGGUGGAAUGCGUGGUGCACCACGUGGACGAGGGGUAAGUAACAAAAAGAAAUCUUCUGUCAACAGCGAGAUUAAACUAGAAUAUAUAUGUAUGUAUAAAUAUAAUAUUUAUUUUUAGCAUGGGGCGGUUGGGGUGGUCAAGGCGGGUACGCUGCUGGAGGAUAUGGAGCUGGAUAUGCAGGAGGCUACGGAGGCGGCUAUGGUGGAGGCUACGGAUACGGCGAAGGAUAUGGAUACGACUACUACGGAGGCGGAUAUGAUUCGUACGGAGCUUAUGGCGGUCAAGGUCAACAGUACAGCGGAGGUAAACAGCGUGGCGCUGGACGCCAGGCACCGAGGCAUCAACCUUAUUAAGAAUGUUAAUCAGUCGAUCCGGUCCUGCAAUAGAAAUGCCAUGUGUGUGUGUGUGUGUGUGUUUUUUUUUUUUUUUUUUUUCUGCUCCCAUUGACAGGACACUGUACAAACAGUUUUAUUGUCUGCACCUCUUUCUCAAUUUGGUAUAAACCUGUCUCAUUUUAUUUGUCACUCGAAACCAUCGAUCAACUUGAUUACAUUCUAAAUCAUUGGAAAAUACUCGGAUUACAUUUUUGUAAAUUGUU
rnacentral:misc_RNA from 1 species